rnacentral:tRNA from 1 species
GGAGAGGUCGCAUAGUGGACUAGUGCGCUUGUCUUGAGAACAAGUGAGGCUGCAAAGUCUCCGCGAGUUCGAAUCUCGCCCUCUCCG